CUAAUGGAGGAGCAACAAAAUCUGAGGAUUCUGAGAGGUCCUCUGAGGUGAAUGAUGAUGCUGAGCAGCAAGCUAGCUCUUAGGGUGCUACAUAGUUGAUAUGGCAAGUGAAAGCUGCUGGGAAAGUCAUACUAUAUAAAUCAUUAAGUGUUCAUACCUAGCUAUAGUUAGUUCUAACUCCUAGUACUAGUAUGGUUCUUCUGUUAAAAAUUUCUAUUAUCAGCUUAUGAUCGUGUUUACUGUUUUGUAUAUGCAAUGCAAUGCAAUUAUGAAUUGAGUAUGCCUUUGUUAGCUAAGUAAUUGAAACAGCCUCUGGUUUUUGUCCAAUCUAUAAUGGUAUGCCCCUUUGCAAUGCAAUAAAUAUCACGUUAAAAGUA